GUUCUUAUGGUGUAAUGGUUAGCACUCUGGACUUUGAAUCCAGCGACCUGGGUUCGACUUCUGGUUGGGCCU
rnacentral:tRNA from 1 species